rnacentral:lncRNA from 1 species
AGGCCUCCCAGUUUCUUCUAUCAGCAGGACUUCCGAGCUUCAGUAUGCGGCCAAAGUGUAGAUUGCUGGGCCCUGUCACCUUGACGAAUCAUUGGGUCAAGGAAAGAAAGAGUUGAGACUCCGCAUGAAUGUGUCCUCAGCUUAUCACUGUGUUCCUGGCCCCCAGCACAGCAUUCCUCUAGAUCCACGGAACAAGCCUGUAUACCUCAGGACUGGAGUGCAGAGAAUGGAUCAUGCCUACACAUUAGCUCAAAUUCCUCAAAAAAGGUUCUCCACAGGCCUGAGUGGUCCCUCAGAGCUCUCCUCUCAACCUCCCCACCUUCCUGAUGACUAGAUUCUACGACUCUGAACAGGGCCAAGACUUUUAAACUCCAAGGCUCCCGUGUCAAUGGCAGUGACAGAGUCCAUGGCUACCCAUUCCUGAUCACUGGAGAAGGGCUUUCUAAACAUGAAC